CCUACGGGAGGCAGCAGUGAGGAAUAUUGGUCAAUGGACGCAAGUCUGAACCAGCCAUGCCGCGUGCAGGAAGACGGCUCUCUGAGUUGUAAGCUGCAUUUGCACGAGGGUAAACGAAGAUACGCGAAUAUGUCUCAAAGUAUCGUUCGAAUAAGGAUCGGCUAACUCUGUGCCAGCAGCCGCGGUAAUACGGAGGAUUCAAGCGUUAUCCGGAUUUAUUGGGUGUAAAGGGUGCGUAGACGGUCGGACAAGUUUGAGGUGAAAUCCCGAGGCUUAACUUCGGAAUUGCCUCUGAUACUGUUCGGCUAGAGAGUAGUAGCGGUAGGCGGAAUG
rnacentral:rRNA from 1 species